rnacentral:rRNA from 1 species
UACAGAGGUGCCAAGCGUUGUUCGGAUUUACUGGGCGUAAAGGGUGCGUAGGUGGUUGGGUAAGUCGGAUGUGAAAUCCUACAGCUUAACUGUAGAACUGCAUUCGAAACUGCUCAGCUAGAGUACUGGAGAGGAGAUCGGAAUUCUCGGUGUAGCAGUGAAAUGCGUAGAUAUCGAGAGGAACACCAGUGGCGAAGGCGGAUCUCUGGACAGUUACUGACACUGAGGCACGAAAGCUAGGGGAGCAAACGGG